GAUGAACGCUGGCGGCGUGCCUAAUACAUGCAAGUCGAGCGAACGGACGAGAAGCUUGCUUUUCUGAUGUUAGCGGCGGACGGGUAGUAACACGUGGAUAACCUACCUAUAAGACUGGGAUAACUUCGGGAAACCGGAGCUAAUACCGGAUAAUAUUUUGAACCGCAUGGUUCAAAAGUGAAAGACGGUCUUGCUGUCACUUAUAGAUGGAUCCGCGCUGCAUUAGCUAGUUGGUAAGGUAACGGCUUACCAAGGCAACGAUGCAUAGCCGACCUGAGAGGGUGAUCGGCCACACUGGAACUGAGACACGGUCCAGACUCCUACGGGAGGCAGCAGUAGGGAAUCUUCCGCAAUGGGCGAAAGCCUGACGGAGCAACGCCGCGUGAGUGAUGAAGGUCUUCGGAUCGUAAAACUCUGUUAUUAGGGAAGAACAUAUGUGUAAGUAACUGUGCACAUCUUGACGGUACCUAAUCAGAAAGCCACGGCUAACUACGU
rnacentral:rRNA from 1 species